CCUACGGGUGGCAGCAGUGGGGAAUAUUGGGCAAUGGACGAAACUCUGACCCAGCAAUGCCGCGUGAAUGAAGAAGGUCUUCGGAUUGUAAAGUUCUUUUGUCAGGGAAGAAUAAAAUGACGGUACCUGAAGAAUAAGCUCCGGUUAACUACGUGCCAGCAGCCGCGGUAAACCGUAGGGAGCAAGCGUUGUUCGGAAUGAAUGGGGGUAAAGGUUGCGUAGGCGGGGAUACAAGUUAGGAGUGAAAUACCCGGGGCUUAACACGGGCGCUGCUUCUAAAACUGUAGGACUUGAGUACAGGAGAGGUUAGUGGAAUUCCUGGUGUAGCGGUGAAAUGCGUAGAUAUUAGGAAGAACACCAGGGGCGAAGGCGGCUAACUGGACUGCAACUGACGCUGAGGCACGAAAGUGUGGGGAGCAAACAGGAUUAGAUACCCUAGUAGUC
rnacentral:rRNA from 1 species